GACGAACGCUGGCGGCGUGCUUAACACAUGCAAGUCGAACGGAAAGGCCCUGCUUUUGUGGGGUGCUCGAGUGGCGAACGGGUGAGUAACACGUGAGUAACCUGCCCUUGACUUUGGGAUAACUUCAGGAAACUGGGGCUAAUACCGGAUAGGAGCUCCUGCUGCAUGGUGGGGGUUGGAAAGUUUCGGCGGUUGGGGAUGGACUCGCGGCUUAUCAGCUUGUUGGUGGGGUAGUGGCUUACCAAGGCUUUGACGGGUAGCCGGCCUGAGAGGGUGACCGGCCACAUUGGGACUGAGAUACGGCCCAGACUCCUACGGGAGGCAGCAGUGGGGAAUAUUGAACAAUGGGCGGAAGCCUGAUGCAGCAACGCCGCGUGCGGGAUGACGGCCUUCGGGUUGUAGACCGCUUUCGCCUGUGACGAAGCGUGAGUGACGGUAAUGGGUAAAGAAGCACCGGCUAACUACGUG
rnacentral:rRNA from 1 species